rnacentral:rRNA from 1 species
UACAGAGGUGGCAAGCGUUGUUCGGAAUUACUGGGCGUAAAGGGCGCGUAGGCGGUCUUGUAAGUCUUGUGUGAAAUCCCUCGGCUCAACUGAGGAACUGCCUUUGAAACUGUCUGGCUUGAGGCCGGGAGAGGGUAGCGGAAUUCCCAGUGUAGCGGUGAAAUGCGUAGAUACUGGGAGGAACACCGGUGGCGAAGGCGGCUACCUGGACCGGUUCUGACGCUGAUGCGCGAAAGCGUGGGUAGCAAACAGG